AGCUUUGUGCAAUGGCAAUAUCAUAGCCAGUGAGGUUUACCUGAGGCACGAUUAUUGCUAAUUAAAAGAAGGACAUUUUAAAAUCUAUCUCCAAGUACAAUGCUGUCUGUAAUUGAAUAAUAUCUAUCUGCAUUGGAGGAAAUCC